UGCAAAGAUAAAAACGCAAUGUGCAUCUUUGGAUGUGCUAGAGCCGGUAGGUAGCCCGGCCGUCCUGCUAGUCAGGGUAAGUAACCUGCCCCUCCGGGUUGUCCAUUCUUUGCCUAUC
rnacentral:ncRNA from 1 species